AGGGUGAGCGGCUGCUGUGCUCAAGGCAAACACUUAGUAACCACAACAAACCCAUCACUCGGGCACCCGUCUACAUGGAAACGGGAUGACAACAACCAAGCAAGCCCUCUUUCAGCGUCUACACAGUCAGGCCAUGGGAAGAUGGGAUCACCCGCUCACCUUGCUGCUCUUGGCCCAACAAAUCGUGAUGCACAGAGAUCUGGAGACUGUCAGCUUUCCUCUGUGAAUGUCUCUACCCAGGAAGACACUGUUUCUCCAACCAGGAAGCCUUCUGGAGGCAGACCCUUGGAGCAGCAGAAGCGAAAAAUCUUCAUGGCAUACCUUAAAGAAAGAAAGCCAAAAGAGCUGGGCGCAGUGGCACGUGUCUGUAAUCCCAGCCGAGGCCAGCAGAUCUCUGUGAGUUUGAGGCCAGAACUCAAAGCCAGUCCAGGAGAGCCAUGGCUACACAGAGAAACCUUGUCUUGAAAAACAUUUUAAAGAAGUCCAGCAGUGACAUGGGAGGGGUUCUUGCAACUGACAAAUUUAAACCAACCUCUCCUCACCCGUGCUGUGGCCUUGGCUGAACAAUACACUGUAGCAUAAGCCCCUUUCUACACUAUCUGCCUCCUGUGCACCCCACACAUUCAGGCCCAGGCCGCUGCAACUUCUUUAUGCAGGAAGGCAAGCCCACUGACAACCACCCAGCUUCUAGAAUGUUCCUGUUGCCAGGCCUUGGUAACAUGGUCGUCAAAUUUAGUUAGUCCAUGUAGCGAACUCCAUGUGCUAGUGCUCAUUAACAAUCUCAGGCUCUGGAUCCUAAGAAGCGAUUCCUGCCCUUACUCCACUGAGGUCCAGGAUUCCUGGUUCUUUCGCUUGGGGAGAUUGUUGUUGUUUUUCUCACCAGAUAGGCACUGGUUGAAAAGCAGUAAAAUACUAAAAUGCAGUGUAUCUCCCACUGACAGCUGCAGUGGAAGAAAAGCUAAAUGCAGUGCUUCUUGGGUACGCACCCACGGGUACCCAGUCAAAGCCUCUGAUGGUUUUAGGGUAAAACAUGGAAGCACAGACCUUGGGGGUACCCAGUCAAAGCCUCUGAUGGUUUUAGGGUAAAACAUGGAAGCACAGACCUUGGGGUUCAGGGUGGUGGGAAAGGCUGGAAGCGCCCUUCAUUUUCGAGCCCUCUCUUUGGUUUCAUGUGGUAAUUCAUGUGGUUUAGUUAGAAACUUCUGAGAUGGAAAUGUGCAGGGCCUAGAGCACUCAAGUUUCAAGGGCCAGGAAAAAUUGUGCUGAAUGCCUCUUGCAGAAGGGGUGUAAUUUGAUUACAGUUUUGAGAGUCAGGGCAUUUAUGGAAAUCUCUGCAUCUCAUCUGAAGACAAGAAUGCAGACUUUUUUAAUGGAAAUAACUGUGAAGGUCAUGCGCCAUUAGAUUGUUGAGAAAUUCAAAACAAUAAAACACUUCCCUUAGAGGUGCAUUUUCAUCAUAGAUAUACAUAUAUGUGUAUGUAUUAUGUGAUUGUAUAUGCACAUGUACACGCAUACAUCAAACCACACACACACACACACACACACCAGAGCGGAACAAUUAGUGCAAAGAUAAAAAUAAAAUCAAGUUUGUGUGUAUGUGUGUGUGUGUAUGUAUAUAUGUUUAAAACUAUCUGAGUAGUCAUUGACAACACCAUUGAUUUAGGGGGGAAAAAUCAACAUACAAGGGAAAAAAGAAAAAAGAAAAAUCUUUUGAGGGAGAAAAAAAAAACUAAAUGAAAUUUACCAGGAAAAGGUUCGUCUCCCCCCCCCCCCACCAAGACUUCUGGAGCAGUUUGGAUGGAGGGGUCUUUUCUGCAGGCUCCUUACACACACACCCCAUCCCACAGCUCUGUAAAACACACUUAGCAGUCAGCCUGACACCAGCUUUGCAAGUUCAAAUUCCUUUGCUAGAUAUAGAAUUCCAGAGGAAAAGCACUGUGUGUGUAUGUGUGUGUGUAUGUGUGGCUUGUGUGCAAGUAUAAAGGCGCAAGCACUGUGCAGAGGAGACAGUAAGGGACAAGGAUGCCAGGCGAUGCUUAUCACUCUCUGCCUUGGUACCCUGGACAGAAUGUCAAGGCAGGCAGUUGGUCAGAAAACCCUAGGCAUCCUCCCUUCUCUGCCCCCACAGAGCCAGGCUUACUGGUGGGCGCGGGCACAAUCCCCCCCAUCU